UACGAAGGGGGCUAGCGUUGCUCGGAAUGACUGGGCGUAAAGGGCGCGUAGGCGGAUGGUACAGUCAGAUGUGAAAUUCCCGGGCUCAACCUGGGGGCUGCAUUUGAUACGUGCUGUCUUGAGUUCGGAAGAGGGUCGUGGAAUUCCCAGUGUAGAGGUGAAAUUCGUAGAUAUUGGGAAGAACACCGGUGGCGAAGGCGGCGACCUGGUCCGAGACUGACGCUGAGGCGCGAAAGCGUGGGGAGCAAACAGG
rnacentral:rRNA from 1 species